rnacentral:tRNA from 1 species
GGGGAUGUAGCUCAGCUGGGAGAGCAUCAGGUUCGCAAUCUGAGGGUCGUGGGUUCGAAUCCCAUCAUCUCCACCA